GACGAACGCUGGCGGCGUGCUUAACACAUGCAAGUCGAACGGAAAGGCCUGCUUUCCCUUGUGGAUUGCGGGUACUCGAGUGGCGAACGGGUGAGUAACACGUGCGUGAUCUGCCCCCAACUUGGGUAUAAGCCUGGGAAACUGGGUCUAAUUCCCGAUAGGACUGCAGGGUGGUGCCUGUGGUGGCAAACGAUUUUCUAGUGGUUGGGGCUGAGCUCGCGGCCUAUCAGCUUGUUGGUGGGGUAAUGGCCUACCAAGGCGGCGACGGGUAGCCGGCCUGGGAGGGUGGACGGCCACAUUUGGACUGAGAUACGGCCCAGACUCCUACGGGAGGCAGCAGUGGGGAAUAAGGCGCGAUGGGCGGAAGCCUGAGGCAGCGACGCCGAGUGAGGGAUGACGGCCUUCGGGUGGUGAACUCCUUUCGACCGCGAGGAAGCCACCUGGUUGGAAGGGUGGUGACGGUAGUGGUAGAAGAAGCACCGGCUAACUACGUG
rnacentral:rRNA from 1 species